GCGGUGUAGGUGGAAGCAGCGGUGGAGGAGGAGGAUGAGGUAGCCAACACUGUUUUUAUAUAUAUAUAUAUUUUAAUUGGGGUAGCCCCCAAAAUAUUGGGACAUAUAAAAAAGUCAACUCUGUUCUGCAGAGUAGCUGUUGACAUUAUAGUUGCGCAGGCACUUUGUUGACUCUAGAGAACCUCGGGCCAAUCGGAUGUCAUCCAUAUCAACUUUCGAUGCCAGUUUCUGCGCCUACCAUGGUGACCACGGGUAAUGGGGAAUUAGGGUUCCAUUCCGUACAGGGACCCUUAGAAACGGCUACCACAUGCAAGGAAGGCAGCAGGCG